CUUUUAAAUGCAGAAAGCCAAAUAAGCAGGAGCCAAAGAGGGAAUGGUGGAGCGAAGCCCCCGAUUUGGCUUUAAGAUGAGCUAGCUGUGGAAAACGGACACCAAACUGCCAGAAAAGCCAGAAACCCAAAACCAGCAAAAACAGAAGGAAAGCAAGGAAAGGCAGGCUAAUCAGCUGGGCGCACGCUAAGGGCCAAGAACUUCAAGUGGUUGCCCAGGAUACUCGGCUAGCCCAACGGAAGCGAUUGUCAACCAACACUUUCGAUCACACAGACAGCCACUUGUCAGUUCUAAUUGACAAUAGAAACUAAAUCUGGCCAAAAGGGUAGAGGGCGGGCAGUGAAAGUGAACGAUUCGGGCGGUCUGGACCACCCAUCACAAAUCUGCGCCCGAGGCGUACAAGAAUACAGGGACACGAGGCGACCCUUGUUGAAACUCAAUCAAACGCCUACGUAUUUGGUGAAAAGUUCAAACAAUGAAGUUGCUGCCACUUUUGAGGGCCGACAGUCCUGCUGAUUUUGAUUCCAAUUCUGAAGUCUCGAUGCCACGUUGCUGAUGCUGAUGAUGACGAUGCUAAAGCUGAUGUUCGCCCCAGUUAAAUAGACAAUUUUGCACACAAAUCCAUUUAAUCUAGAGAUAAAUAACAUUUAGGACCAGAACCAGGGCGAGGACCAGGACCUUCCUCAUCAGCCAGUUCGUGCUGAAUGGGAGACCAAUAAAUGCACUCGAAAAAGAGGAAUAAUAAGUCUUAAGAAAUUCUUUAAAUAAUAAAUAAAUAUUAUAUUCAAAAUUUAAUAUUUCUUAUGAAUAGUUUGAAGAAAUUACUUUUUUAAAUAUUCAUGUUUAUACAAUCUAAUAUAAAGAAACCACCAAUGAUUGUUAUUGAUAGCCAAAACUUUCAUCCUAGUUUCUCAAAACAAUAAUCUGUUUAAUGCUUUUUACUUGUAUCUUACAGUCUUGCUUAUAAAUUUUUAAUUAAUAUAUUUACUAUUGAA